rnacentral:rRNA from 1 species
CGACCGGCGCACGGGUGAGUAACACGUAUGGAACCUGCCCGCAGCAGGGGGAUAAGCGGAAGAAAUUCCGUCUAAUACCGCGUAACAACGUUGGGAGGCAUCUCCCGAUGUUUAAAGAUUUAUCGGCUGCGGAUGGCCAUGCGGCGCAUUAGCUAGUCGGCGGGGUAACGGCCCACCGAGGCGACGAUGCGUAGGGGUUCUGAGAGGAAGGCCCCCACACUGGUGCUGAGACACGGACCUGACUCCUACGGAAGGCAGCAG